UUCCGCGCCGCGGCAGCGCUCCGCCGGCUGCGGCGGCGGGGCCGGGGGUGGCUCCCCUGAGGCCGCGGUGCUUCCCUUCGUGCGAGUCUCCUGGGCGGCCCGGUCAGCACGCGCCGGAGCCCUCGGGCCGGCCUCCUCGCCUUGCCCUGCCACCCGCUAGGGAAGGCGCGGCGGCCGGCCCGAGGGCAGGAGCGAGGCGGUGUGCGGUGCGGCUGAGGCCGCGCAGGAGACCCGGCACCACCUGGCGUGGGACCACAGGGGGCGAGCCCAGCCCGGUGCUGCGGGAGGUGUGGCGAUGGAGACGGCGGGACCCGAAAGAAGCUGUUGCCCUGAGGGAAAAGGUGUUGCUCGCCAGCCGUAACCUGCCUCGCUGCAAAGCAGCAGCUCCCGCUAGAUGAGCUGCAGCUCAGCAGGAGCCAUGUGCCAGGCGCCACCAGCGCUCACCUGCCUCACCCAACAGGCUGGGGCUCUCCGCUGAGCACCAACACUGACCUGUGCGUCUUUCAGAACGUACGUCUCCUUGAAUGAGACUAAAGUGCAGACAUAGCGUAAUUUAAACCCAGUUUUCAGUUUUCCCAUCCUUAAAACCUAACAUAGUCUUCACUGAGAAUGUGAGAUACAUGGCAAAGUCAGUUCUGGAACAAAGCCUUUUAAUGAAUGGGUGCAACUUAGGUAUGACAGUGAGUUAGAUUACUUGAAAUAAGAAAGUCAUGGUUUGUAGAUAUAUUGCAUUCUGCAUAUAGAAAGAAGCAUAUUCAUCAGCCAGGCAUGGCUCUUAUUUUGUGGUUGCUGUGUGGAGACAUCCUGGCCAUCUAUUAACCUACUUUCCCCUCUUUGAGAAAGGCAGGAAUAGACUACUAAUGUUGGGUGGCAGAUCUGGCAGAUAUUACCAAUUCUGUCUCUUCCUUUUAAAGUGACAUCUGUCAAAUUAUCCAAGUUCUUCACCUCCCACAAGUAUACAGCAUAGCUGCAAGUUUCUUAGCAAUUUGGUAUUAACUUGAAGUAAAAAUUAGUAUAUUUACUUGCUAAAUAAGUUUGUUCCAGACAUAUAUUUAAUAACAGUUAUACAUGGGGGGAGAGGGAUCUUUACUUUAACUGAUACUUACUUAGUUUUAAGGUCUUGAUCCUAGAGAAGACUUCUCAGGCUUUACCUAAGGAAAUUAUAUCAGGAAAUUGCUAGUACUUAGGCAUGAAGUAAACCAGUGCUAGUUCACUGAAUACAAUAUUAAUAUUUAGCAGCUGGUAUAGAAACUUCUUGCAAGGUUAAAAACAAAACAUACUUACAGUCCCACAAUCCAGACAAUAGCCUAAGUGAAUGUGCACCUCAUUUCCUGAUGAGUUUACCCUGCUGCAGUAUGCUGCUCUUAAAAUCUUGUCAAGUAAGAAGCAGUAAGUUACAGAAAUUGAGUCUUUGUUUAUACUCAUUUGCAUCCACUUAAUGCAAACCCCUGCUACCCUUACCAAAACAUACAUAAACAAGCAUUCUUUCUGCUGCUUUUGCUUACAAACUGUUGCCUACAAGUCAUUUCACUGAUAGUUGGGACUUUGUGUUUAAAUAAAGCAUCAGUCGCUUUGACUAGGGGAACAGGCUAUGAAGAGGAAGAUCCCAUUCAUUCAUUACUUCUUCCAGCAGACAUGCAGUUUAAAUAUUACAAAAAUGCCAUGAUGUCUUUAAAAUUGUCAUAAAUUGACACUGUGAAAAAAAACCAGAUACUUGCAAUAUCUCAGUAUGUGUUAGAAGAAUGUCACUGAGGGACCAGGGGUGAAGGGGCAUAUAUUGCAGGACUCAUCACCAGAACAGUCCUUAAACACAGCAUCUCCUACAUGGCAGAAUGGGGUACCUGCUGCAAAUACAGGUCAGGGUCUACUUUCUGUAACGCAGAAGAGCUAUAUCUCAUGGUUUUGUGAGCUGUUGAUGUAAACUGAAAGCAGAAUGUGAAUUACAUAGAUCAUCUCCAGAUAAAACAAUCCACAUAACUUUAGAAGUGCAUAGAGCUGGUAUAUUUUCCCUCUGUAGUUUCCAGAAAACUUUUCUUAAUGUGUUAGUGCUGACACUGAUUUUAAGGUAUCCCUUCAUCUGUAAAGCUGCAUUGCUUCAGUGUUACCAGUUUAAUAGUAUCAUAGCAGGAAAGAACAUCUUCAUUAAUACCUUUUGGAAAUUUCCAAACAUAUUCUAAAAGAUUUGCUUUAUUGCAUAGCAUCGUUAGUGUGCAUAAUGCUUUCCCUUGAAAGCCCUGCCUUCAUUUUGCAAUAAAACUUUAAGGUCCUCC